GGCCCCAUAGUAUAGUGGUUAUUAUAUCGGAUUCCAAUCCAGCUCAAAAGAGCUCCAAAAUGCCAUCCGAGGGUCCUGCGUUCAAAUCGCAGUGGGGUCA